rnacentral:tRNA from 1 species
GGUUGUGGCUCAGUGGCAGAGCACUUGCCUCGCACAUGUGUGGCACUGGGUUCAAUCCUCAGCACCA